rnacentral:rRNA from 1 species
ACAAAGUGGUAAGCGCCCUCCCGAAGGUAGAUCUCAAGGAUCCCAACGGCUAGUCGACUAAGCUACCUACUUCUUUUGCAACCCACUCUCCGGUUGUCACCGGCAGUCUCCUUAGAGUAACCGUCCCCCUUGCGGUUAGACUAUCCGGUUGUCACCGGCAGUCUCCUUAGAGUGUUACGGGACUUAACCCAACAUCUCACGACACGAGCACAAGGCCCGGGAAACGUAUUCAAGUUGCAGACUGCAGAUCCGGACUACGAUCGGUUGUACCGACCAUUGUAGCACGUGUG